rnacentral:rRNA from 1 species
UACGUAGGCAGCAAGCGUUGUUCGGAAUUACUGGGCGUAAAGAGUGUGUAGGCGGUGUUCCAAGUCUGGUGUGAAAUCUCCCAGCUUAACUGGGAGGGUGCAUUAGAAACUGGAAUGCUAGAGGAUGGGAGAGGUAAGCGGAAUUCCUGGUGUAGCGGUGAAAUGCGUAGAUAUCAGGAGGAACACCUGUGGUGUAGACAGCUUACUGGACCAUUUCUGACGCUGAGACACGAAAGCGUGGGUAGCAAACAGG